ACCUCUGCAAUAGGCGAAAGCCUGACAGGGUUACUCUGAGUGACUUUCGCUAAGAAAGUCUUUUGGCACCUCUAAAAAGGGUGCAGAAUAAGGGGUGGGCAAGUCUGGUGUCAGCCGCCGCGGUAAUACCAGCACCCCGAGUGGUCGGGACGAUUAUUGGGCCUAAAGCAUCCGUAGCCGGUUCUGCAAGUCCCCCGUUAAAUCCAGCUGCUCAACAGAUGGGCCGCGGAGGAUACUACAGAGCUAGGAGGCAGGAGAGGCAAGCGGUACUCAGUGGGUAGGGGUAAAAUCCGUUGAUCCAUUGAAGACCACCAGUGGCGAAGGCGGCUUGCCAGAAUGCGCUCGACGGUGAGGGAUGAAAGCUGGGGGAGCAAACCGGAUUAGAUACCCGGGUAGUCCCAGCCGUAAACGAUGCAGACUCGGUGAUGGGUUGGCUUCGCGCUAACCCAGUGCCGCAGGGAAGCCGUUAAGUCUGCCGCCUGGGUAGUACGGUCGCAAGACUGAAACUUAA
rnacentral:rRNA from 1 species